AACGAAAGUCGUAGAAUAUGUUAAACUAAGAACAUCGAUAAAAAGAACGCCCAAAUCUGACUUCGUAUGAGGAAGUUAUGAUUUUUCUAAGAUUUAGCAUAGCAGUGCACAGCCCGAAAUCUGAAUUUUAGAUCGGUCGAUUUUUAGCCGACGGGAUCUAAAUGAAAGUUGUAGUACUCGUAAAUACCAACGCGUGGAUAUAAAGAACGUUGAUAAUAGAGCUCGUAUGCAAAAGUUAUGGACGAAGCUUAGUCCCUACUUUUCGAGCGCGGCGAAUUCGAUACAGUUUUGUAAAUACGAGAUAGAAUGAGAAUUAGCCAACGAGGUCUAAAUGAGAGUUGAAGAUCUCAUUAAUAGGAACUCAACGGUAAAAAGACAGACAAAAAUGGAGCUCGUAUGCAAAAGUUAUGGACGAAGCUUAGUCCCUACUUUUCGAGCGCGACGAAUUCGAUACAGUUUUGUAAAUCCGAGAUAGAAUGAGAAUUAGCCAACGAGGUCUAAAUGAAAGUUGAAGAUCUCAUUAAUAGGAACUCAACGGUAAAAAGACAGACAAAAAUGGAGCUCGUAUGCAAAAGUUACGGACGAAGCUUAGAGACUACUUUACUAUAAAACUCCUAUAAAUACAAGGGUGAACUCCUCAUAUUUUCUUCACACCAUAAGCCUCUCUUUCUCUCUCUAACUUCUCUCUAGCCUCCCUAAACCCCUCCCAAGUCUACGGAACCUCCCUAGCACGAGAAGAAAGCCCCGGAGC
rnacentral:lncRNA from 1 species